ensembl:piRNA 21ur-78 ncRNA
AUAAAGAUGGAGUACUGUACU